rnacentral:rRNA from 1 species
AAAAUAAUUUUAAGUCUAAUCUGCUCAAUGAAUAAUUUUAAAUAGCUGCAGUAUAAAUAACUGUACAAAGGUAGCAUAAUAAUUUGUUUUUUAAUUGAAAACUAGAAUGAAUGAUUAAAUGAAAUAUAAACUAUAUCAAAUUUAAAAAAUAAAUUUAUUAUUUAAAUAAAAAAAUUUAAAUAAUUUUUAAAGACGAGAAGACCCUAAAGAAUUUUAAUAAUAAAUUAUAAUAUAAAUUUAAAAUUUAUUAUAUUAAUUGGGGAAAUUUUAAAAUUUAAAAAAUUUUUAAUUAGAUAAACAUAAAUUUUUGAAUAUUUAAAAUUUUUUAAAAAAUUAAAUUAAAUUACCUUAGGGAUAACAGCAUAAUUUUUUUAAAAAGUUCAAAUUUAUAAAAAAGUUUAUGACCUCGAUGUUGAAUUAAGAUUAAAUUUAAUAGAAAAAUAUUGAAAAUUUAAGUCUGUUCGACUUUUAAAAUCUUACAUGAU